GAAACCAAACCGAGCUCUUCCCUCGGUUAUUCUCAAAAUAUUAUUUUUUCCAUUAAGUUCUUGAUUAAAUCCAUAUAUGGCACCUCGUUCAAGCGAUGUCCUAGAAAUACGGUGCCAAAUCCAGGUGUUGCUUCUGUAGCAUCUCAAUAUAGAGUUUUUGGAAAAGAUGGAGAUGAAGAGGAUAAUGGAUUGAUUGGUGUUUGAGAGCAAGAAAUAGACCCUAAUUCCAUAAAAUUGCACAUAGAAAGCACUCAUCCGAGAAAAUUCAAAGAAAAGCUUAAAAGGAGAACAAUGGAAGUGACUCCUUCUAAUUCAAAAACUCCCAAACCUCAAGGUGGUGGCACCAAGAACUUUCGUGCAGGGAAAAGGGGAACUGACACUACUUGGUCUUUGCCUGUACAUCAAGAGGAUAACAAUGAUGAGGAUAAGUAUGAUGAUGAAAAAGAGGAAGAACCACAAUAAGAAACACAACAAAAACAAGAGAAAUGGAAGAAGAAAGUUGUUACAUCAAGGGAGACAAGUAAGCAUAUUCCUAGUGAUGAUAAUGUUAUACGUGCUCGCGAGAAUGGUUUGCCACAUGGUCUUCCGGAAGAUGGUGGAAGAGUGUUGAUGGGCUACAAGAAGUCGUGGGCGAAGAGAAUUUAUGAGACUUCGGAUCAUGGGGAUGCAUUCCGCGUACUUAGACACCAGAGUGCCGCAUAUUUGGAUAUUUUCAAAGAGGCUCCGGAUGUGGUGGCUUUAGUACAAGGCUCUGGUUUAUGGUCUGCUAUUUUCUAUGCACAAGAGGAAUUUGAUGCAGUUACAAACUCAGCCUUUUGUGAGAUAUUUUGUCCGGAGACUUACACAUUUCAUCUCCCCUUUGGCGAGAUGUCAAUUGCUCCUGAUGAUGCACAGAAGAUUAGUGGUCUUAGAAUGAAGAGGGGAAAUGUGAAAUCUGAGGUUUAUGAAAUGACUUGGGAUGAGUUGUAUGUACUGGCUGAGGAAACUCUAGGUUGGCCAAAAGACAAGACAUAAUUGGAGUUUGCAUGCGCUGCUAAAGAGGUGAAGUUUGUGGAUUCUAGCACAAAGAAGUUGAAGAAAAUCAAGUUCAGCGCUUUGAAAAAGUAUUUUGGAGACACAAAUGAGAAAAUUUCAAAGGGAGAGUUGGUUAUGGACGAGGUCACAGCUAGGCGCACUACUACUGUGUAUUUUUUGUAUACUUUAGGAAGUGUUAUAUUUCCCGAUAACAGUGGGAACAAGGUUAAUGCUCAAUACCUUCAACCGGCAGUGACCUAUUUUGGGAUUCUUGGCAAGUUUUGGCAGCUAAUUCAACCGGUAUUUGAACACGGGUACUUUUAUAAUUUGAAGGCCUAUAAAAGAAACACUUAUACUUCUAAUUGGAUGUAUCUUUUGUCACACUUUUGAAGAGAAGAAUAAGAUCUAGGGAUUGGAGUUACGAUUGAUAAUCAAGAUUAUAGGGUUUGCUUUACUUAUUCUCUUUUAUAUUUUCCAUGGAUUUUGAAAAAUCCGUGCGUAGAUAAAACCUUUCAUAUUGGUUAAGGAUGUAGUCGGAUAUCAAAAACAUGUUAUUUCACUAUUAUAUUAGUUUUGUUAUCUUAAUUAAAUCAUUAUUGCCUUGUUCUACCA